rnacentral:rRNA from 1 species
AGAGUUUGAUCCUGGCUCAGAUUGAACGCUGGCGGAAUGCUUUACACAUGCAAGUCGAACGGCAGCACGGGGGCAACCCUGGUGGCGAGUGGCGAACGGGUGAGUAAUACAUCGGAACGUGCCCAGUCGUGGGGGAUAACGUAGCGAAAGCUACGCUAAUACCGCAUACGAACUCUGGUUGAAAGCGGGGGAUCGCAAGACCUCGCGCGAUUGGAGCGGCCGAUGGCAGAUUAGGUAGUUGGUGGGGUAAAGGCUCACCAAGCCGCCGAUCUGUAGCUGGUCUGAGAGGACGACCAGCCACACUGGGACUGAGACACGGCCCAGACUCCUACGGGAGGCAGCAGUGGGGAAUUUUGGACAAUGGGCGCAAGCCUGAUCCAGCCAUUCCGCGUGCAGGAUGAAGGCCCUCGGGUUGUAAACUGCUUUUGUACGGAACGAAAAGGCCUGGGUUAAUACCUCGGGCUCAUGACG